AUUGAACGCUGGCGGCAGGCUUAACACAUGCAAGUCGAGCGGAGAUGAGGUGCUUGCACCUUAUCUUAGCGGCGGACGGGUGAGUAAUGCUUAGGAAUCUGCCUAUUAGUGGGGGACAACAUUCCGAAAGGAAUGCUAAUACCGCAUACGUCCUACGGGAGAAAGCAGGGGAUCUUCGGACCUUGCGCUAGUAGAUGAGCCUAAGUCGGAUUAGCUAGUUGGUGGGGUAAAGGCCUACCAAGGCGACGAUCUGUAGCGGGUCUGAGAGGAUGAUCCGCCACACUGGGACUGAGACACGGCCCAGACUCCUACGGGAGGCAGCAGUGGGGAAUAUUGGACAAUGGGGGAAACCCUGAUCCAGCCAUGCCGCGUGUGUGAAGAAGGCCUUAUGGUUGUAAAGCACUUUAAGCGAGGAGGAGGCUACUGAGACUAAUACUCUUGGAUAGUGGUCGUUACUCGCAGAAUAAGCACCGGCUAACUCUGUGCCAGCAGCCGCCGUAA
rnacentral:rRNA from 1 species